GAUGAACGCUGGCGGCGUGCCUAACACAUGCAAGUCGAGCGAUCUUCUUCGGAAGAAAGCGGCAGACGGGUGAGUAACGCGUGGGUAACCUGCCCUGUACACACGGAUAACAUACCGAAAGGUAUGCUAAUACGAGAUAAUAUGCUUUUGUCGCAUGGUAGAAGUAUCAAAGCUUUUGCGGUACAGGAUGGACCCGCGUCUGAUUAGCUAGUUGGUAAGGUAACGGCUUACCAAGGCGACGAUCAGUAGCCGACCUGAGAGGGUGAUCGGCCACAUUGGAACUGAGACACGGUCCAAACUCCUACGGGAGGCAGCAGUGGGGAAUAUUGCACAAUGGGCGAAAGCCUGAUGCAGCAACGCCGCGUGAGCGAUGAAGGCCUUCGGGUCGUAAAGCUCUGUCCUCAAGGAAGAUAAUGACGGUACUUGAGGAGGAAGCCCCGGCUAACUACGUGCCAGCCGCCGCAGUAAUAC
rnacentral:rRNA from 1 species